rnacentral:rRNA from 1 species
AUGGCGGCGGUGCAGCAGUACACGGUGGCGCUCUUCCUCUCCGUCGCCCUCGUGGCGGGGCCGGCCGUCUCCUACGCCGCCUACGCCCCCGGCGCCCCGGCCACCCCCGCCGCCCCAGGGACCCAGCCCAAGGCGACGACUCCGGAGCAGAAGCUGAUGGAGGAUAUCAACAACGGCUUCAAGGCGGCCGUGGCGGCCGCAGCCGCCGUCCCUCCGGCCGACAAGUACAAGACGUUCGAGGCCACCUUCAGCGCGGCUUCUAACAAGGCAUUCGCAGAUGUCCUCAAGGCCGCCGCCUCCGGCCAGAUGGCCGCCCAGUCAGCCUCCAUGGCCUCACUCUCCAAGAGCCUCGAAGCCUCCUACAAGCUCGCCUACGACAAAGCCCAGGGCGCCACCCCCGAGACCAAGUACGACACCUACGUCGCCAGUCUCACCGAGUCGCUCCGCGUCAUCUCCGGCGCCUUCGAGAUCCACUCCGUCAAGCCCGCCGCCGAGGAGGUCAAGGGGAUCCCCGCCCCCCAGCUCAAGACCAUCGACCAGAUCGACGCCGCCUACAGGAGCGCCGCCACCGCCGCCGACGCUGCCCCGGUCAACGACAAGUUCACCGUCUUCGAGUCCACCUUCAACAAGGCCAUCAAGGAGACCACGGGCGGCGCAUACGACAACUACACGUUCGUCCCCGCCCUUGAGUCUGCCGUCAAGCAGGCCUACGCCGCCACCGUCGCCUCCGCGCCCGAGGUAAAGUACGCCGUCUUUCAGGCCGCCCUGAGCAAGGCCAUCAAUGCCAUGGUUGAAGCCGAGAAGGAUGCCAAGCCCGCUGCCGCUGGCGCCGGCGCCGCUGCCGGUGGCUACAAAGCCUGA